GAUGUCCUGAUUUUAUAGGGGACAGUCCCGAUUUUUGGGUCUUUUUCUUAUAUAGGCUCCUAUUACCCCCCACCUCCGUCCCGAUUUUUCACCCUUGCUGUCUGGUCACCCUACCCCCAGUGGCCAGUGUAGUGCAGCACCAGCCCUCUCUGCAGAAAGGAGUCUGCGCUGGUAAAUGGUUUCUAUAGCAGCAGCAAGGUUGGCAAACAGGGCUGGGCAGAGACAGCAAGAGUUUCCAACCUCCCAAGGCAUUUAAGCUGUUACUCUUCUGCACUGCUCCUUCUUCUGAACGAUACAUGUAGGAGAUGCAGCCUGAAAAGUCAAAGAAAUUCUCUGCUUCAAAAAUGACUCACACACGCAACCUGGCACCUAGUUUCAAACAAAUGGAUACACUGAGUUCAAUUGAGGCAGAGUACAUAAAGAAUCUACAGAAAGAAGUCUACCUACUGGAACUUGAGACAUCAUUUCUAAGAGAGCAAGCUAAAAAGGCUACCAGUAUUCAACCAAAAAUCAGCACUCAAGCGGAAAAAGUGUUGCAGAAGAUGAAGCUACACCAGCAGAUUCAACACCACCAGGAUAUGGAAGCAAAGCUUGUGGAAAAUAGAUCAGAAUGUUUAAGAGUGCAGGCGUUGCUCCACCAGCUGGAGGAGAAAUACCUUACUAGCUCCCAGUCCAUGCAGCAGCAUAUUGCCAAAGAACUUCGGGAGGAAGCUGAAAAAUUAAGACAGCAGCUCAAAGAAAAAGAACUUUCUGCUGAUGAGGAUAAAUAUUUACGCAACAAAAUGGCAGAAGAUUGUGGAUAUCUGACAAAAGAAAAUGGCUUCUUACAGUCUCAGGUUCUGGAAGCAGCCAGGCAGCUAGAUAGAGAGAGGCAGCUGAGAGAGGAGGAAAGCACCUGCCGUACAAGGAGGAUUUCUGAGCUAGCCUGUGAAAAGGAGAAAGAACGACAACUUGAGAUGGAGUUCACUUACGUGAAGAGACUAUUGCAGGAUGAAAGACAGAAGGCUCUUACUGCACAAGAGCAGGUACUACGUCUCCAGCAAGAAAGGAAAUCUGUAAAUCUAAAUGGACAGUCACUUCAGAGCCAGCUAAAAGAUUUAGAAAGGAGAUGGUCAAAAGCUCAACUGGAAAAUUCAAAACUGCGAACAGAAAAAACUCAUUUAGUAGAACAUAUUUCUCAGUUACAUAAACAGAUUUCUGAGAAAGAGGAUGAAAUCCGUCGCAUGCAUGAACAUGUUAAUACUAUGUCCUAUGACCUGACUAGUCUGAAAUCUCAAGUGGAAACAGAACAUAGCUUGCAGAGAGAAAGAUGGAAAGAGUUCUCCAAUAUUCUAACGGCAUACAAGUCACCUGCUAAAUGAGCUCUAUUUAGGGAAGUAGUUACUUAAAGUGAGCUAACCUAAUAAUUUUAAAAAUGAAACUGAUACUAACAAUUAGUUCCUUAAAUUCCCAUUGUAAAAAAAUAAAAAAAUAAAAGUGUCCUGAUGCA
rnacentral:lncRNA from 1 species